UCUCAUUCGGAUUGGAGUCUGCAACCCGACUCCAUGAAGCUGGAUUCGCUAGUAAUCGCGCAUCAGCCACGGCGCGGUGAAUACGUUCCCGGGCCUUGUACACACCGCCCGUCAAGCCAUGGAAGCCGGGGGUGCCUGAAGUGCGCUGCCGCAAGGAGCGCCCUAGGGUAAAACCGGUGACUGGGGCUAAGUCGUAACAAGGUACC
rnacentral:rRNA from 1 species